rnacentral:rRNA from 1 species
CGAACGCUGGCGGCAUGGAUUAGGCAUGCAAGUCGAACGCUUGUAGCAAUACAAGAGUGGCGCAAGGGUGAGGAACACGUGAGUAAACUGCCCUUUAGUUGGGAAUAACUCUGCGAAAGCGGAGCUAAUACCGAAUGUGACCGGCCCCUCGCAUGAGGAACUGGUUAAAGAUUUAUUGCUAAAGGAUGUGCUCGCGUCCCAUUAGCUUGUUGGCGAGGUAACGGCUCACCAAGGCAAUGACGGGUAGGUGGUCUGAGAGGAUGGUCACCCACACUGGGACUGAGAACUGCCCAGACUCCUACGGGAGGCUGCAGUCGAGAAUCUUCCGCAAUGGGCGAAAGCCUGACGGAGCAAUGCCGCGUGCAGGAUGAAGGCCUUCGGGUCGUAGACUGCUGUCACCGGGGAUGAAGUUAUGACAGUACCCGGGGAGGAAGUCACGGCUAACUACGU